rnacentral:rRNA from 1 species
UUAAAUUGAAGAGUUUGAUCAUGGCUCAGAUUGAACGCUGGCGGCAGGCCUAACACAUGCAAGUCGAACGGUAACAGGAAGCAGCUUGCUGCUUUGCUGACGAGUGGCGGACGGGUGAGUAAUGUCUGGGAAACUGCCUGAUGGAGGGGGAUAACUACUGGAAACGGUGGCUAAUACCGCAUAACGUCGCAAGACCAAAGAGGGGGACCUUCGGGCCUCUUGCCAUCAGAUGUGCCCAGAUGGGAUUAGCUUGUUGGUGAGGUAACGGCUCACCAAGGCGACGAUCCCUAGCUGGUCUGAGAGGAUGACCAGCCACACUGGAACUGAGACACGGUCCAGACUCCUACGGGAGGCAGCAGUGGGGAAUAUUGCACAAUGGGCGCAAGCCUGAUGCAGCCAUGCCGCGUGUAUGAAGAAGGCCUUCGGGUUGUAAAGUACUUUCAGCGGGGAGGAAGGUGUUGUGGUUAAUAACCACAGCAAUUGACGUUACCCGCAGAAGAAGCACCGGCUAACUCCGUGCCAGCAGCCGCGGUAAUACGGAGGGUGCAAGCGUUAAUCGGAAUUACUGGGCGUAAAGCGCACGCAGGCGGUCUGUCAAGUCGGAUGUGAAAUCCCCGGGCUCAACCUGGGAACUGCAUUCGAAACUGGCAGGCUUGAGUCUUGUAGAGGGGGGUGGAAUUCCAGGUGUAGCGGUGAAAUGCGUAGAGAUCUGGAGGAAUACCGGUGGCGAAGGCGGCCCCCUGGACAAAGACUGACGCUCAGGUGCGAAAGCGUGGGGAGCAAACAGGAUUAGAUACCCUGGUAGUCCACGCCGUAAACGAUGUCUACUUGGAGGUUGUGCCCUUGAGGCGUGGCUUCCGGAGCUAACGCGUUAAGUAGACCGCCUGGGGAGUACGGCCGCAAGGUUAAAACUCAAAUGAAUUGACGGGGGCCCGCACAAGCGGUGGAGCAUGUGGUUUAAUUCGAUGCAACGCGAAGAACCUUACCUGGUCUUGACAUCCACGGAAGUUUUCAGAGAUGAGAAUGUGCCUUCGGGAACCGUGAGACAGGUGCUGCAUGGCUGUCGUCAGCUCGUGUUGUGAAAUGUUGGGUUAAGUCCCGCAACGAGCGCAACCCUUAUCCUUUGUUGCCAGCGAUUAGGUCGGGAACUCAAAGGAGACUGCCAGUGAUAAACUGGAGGAAGGUGGGGAUGACGUCAAGUCAUCAUGGCCCUUACGACCAGGGCUACACACGUGCUACAAUGGCGCAUACAAAGAGAAGCGACCUCGCGAGAGCAAGCGGACCUCAUAAAGUGCGUCGUAGUCCGGAUUGGAGUCUGCAACUCGACUCCAUGAAGUCGGAAUCGCUAGUAAUCGUGGAUCAGAAUGCCACGGUGAAUACGUUCCCGGGCCUUGUACACACCGCCCGUCACACCAUGGGAGUGGGUUGCAAAAGAAGUAGGUAGCUUAACCUUCGGGAGGGCGCUUACCACUUUGUGAUUCAUGACUGGGGUGAAGUCGUAACAAGGUAACCGUAGGGGAACCUGCGGUUGGAUCACCUCCUUACCUGAAAGAA